UGUAACAACUCUCAACAACGGAUAUCUCGACUCUCACAUCGAUGAAAAACAUAGCAAAAUGCGAUACUUUGUGUGAAUUGGAGAAUCCCAUGAACCAUCAAGUCUUUGAAUGCAAGUUAAGCAUGAAGCCUUCCUGUCAAGCGCACAUCUGCUGGAUGUCACAC
rnacentral:rRNA from 4 species